CGGCUAUAAAAAGGAGGCCCUUCUCAUUGAGCUUAAACUCGAAUCGGACUGCACUCAUUGAUAUUUGUAAAAUAAAGCUUAAUGCUAAAUGUUGAGAAGAUCGGUUAACAAAUGCGCUUUCAAAGGCUCUAGAAGUGAAAAGCAGAAAUAGAUUUUUUUGGAAACGUUUUCUAUCAAACUCACCAAUCGAGAGUCAUACGAGAAACCUUCGUGCAAAAUUUUGUCAAAAUCGGUUGACAAUUGGCGAUAUUAUUGCAGUAUUAGUCUAAAUCAGAUGAACAUAUACAGUUGUGUUCGAAAUAAUAGCAUAACCCCGGCCCGCUUCACUACCCCAAUUUUAGUAGUACCUCGGAUUUAUCAUUGGACGCAAUACAAGACAUGAACCGACUUAAGGGCGUGGCAUGGAAAACAUAUUACGAUUUGUUAUAGAGCGCACAACAAGUCGAUUACUGGCUUAGGUGUAUGUCCAUACUGGUAUGGGCGGAUUAAUACUCGCACCCUAUUUUCAACCUAAUCUACCACUGGACUUCCGAAAGCCCAAGAAGUCAUACAGUUUAUAAAAUUAUGAAGACUUGUCAUAUCUGAAUUUGAAAUUUCAGAAAUCUGCCCACUCCCGUAAAGAACGUAACAUUUAGGUACAACUUUUCUAAUGCCCAAUAUUUGUAAUAUUUGCUCAACCGUAAAAAAAUAAAUGUGUAACUAUGUUCCAGUACUGCGAGCUAUAGCUCGAAAUAUGUACGAAUAUAUAUUGACAAUGUGUAACAAUAUCUCAAUUUUGAGAUCUUUUGCUUAAUCGGUAAAAAAUUUACAAUUUUGUACAUUUUAGUACCUAAAUUUAAGGAUUUUAAAAAAAUCUUCUAGUCACCCGAUUUACACCGCACGGUGUAGUUCUAACUCACUUUUUAAAGCUUUAGCUCGAUCCGUAAAGAAAGUACCAUUUUGUUCGUUUUAGUAUAAAAAUAAACGAAUUUCAAGAAAAUCUUCUUGCCGCUCGGUACAUACCGAAAAGGUGUACCUAUAUCCCAAAUUCCACGGCUUUAGCUCAGUAUGUAAAGAAAGUACAAUUUUGUAGGCUUUAGUACCUAAAAGUAAAAAUGUACGCAAGGUUUAACUGUUUCCUUAUUUUAGGAGUUUUAGCUCCAUCCGUAGAGAAAGUACAAAUUUGUACGUUUUAGUACCUUACUGUACGAUUUUCCAAAACUCUUCUAGUCGUCCAAUAUACACUGUCAAGGUAUAACUGUAUCGAAAUUUUGAGGUUUUAGCUCAAACCGUAAAGAAAGUACCAUUUUGUGCACUUUAGUACCUUAAUCUACGAAUUUCAGAAAACUCUUCUUGUCGUCCAAUAAGUACUGCCAAGUUGUAACUGUAUGGCAAUUUUGAGAGAUUUAGCUUAAUCCGUAAAGAAAGUACAAUUUUGUACGUUUUAGUAUCUAAUUGUAGGAAUUUCAAAAAACUUCUAGUUGGCCAGUAUCCCAAAUUUUAGUCGGCUUUUCGUCUACUGCUUGUAAAAGAGAAAGUCGACUCAUAGUAAUUAGUGCAAACUAAUUUAAAAUCUCCUGCCGAUGUCAAUCGAAAUAUUGAGAAGAAAUUCCAACAAAAAUAUAAAUUAAAAGCAUUGUUUUGUCUUCUAGACACGGACCCAUAGCCGAACUAAUUUGCAAAAAUAAAAAUGUCAGGUCAACCAUAAACAACCAUACCAUGGCUAAUUCUCGCCUUUCUUUGGAACAGUGCUUUCUUAGUCCCACUUUUACAGCUAUUAUAAUUUAACCAUAAUUCGUCUUAUAAACGAACAACGCUUGCAAAUUAUUUAAUUUUAUUAUUAAAAUCCGUGCUCUGUUAAGAAAGUUCAUCGCUCGCAUCUUCCAAUUUACGACGUAACUCAUUUUUGGCUCAGUGGUUACGUAAAUAAGCAGAAUUGUCGAUUUUGACAUUCCAAAAGCUACCAAUGCAUUCAGAAAAAGUCACAGUUUGGUGGGGUUUAUGGGCUGGUGGCAUCAUUGGACCGUACUUCUUUAAAGAUGAUGACAAUCGUAAAGUAACUGCCAAUGGACAUGUAGUUUCAAAAAGAGGUGCCAUAUGCCACACAGAAUGCGUAACAAAAACUUAUUGAGAGGCGAGUUCGGUGAACAUUUUAUUUCACGUUAAGGACCGGUCAAUUCGCCGCCUAGAUCGUGCGAUUUAACGCCUUUAGACUAUUUUUUGUGGGACAAUGUUAAAGGUCUUGCCUUUACAUUACAUAAUUACCAGGUAAACAGCUGAGUGCAAUUUUUCCUGGGGAAGUGCGCUAUCUGUCAACGAGUUGUGGUUGUGUGUGUUAAGAAGGUCACCGUAGCGCAGAGGUUAGCAUGUCCGCCUAUGACGCUGAACGCCUGGGUUCGAAUUCUGGCGAGACCAUCAGAAGAAAUUUUCAGCGGUGGUUUUCCCCUACUAAUGCUGGCAACAUUUGUGAGACAAGCCCGCUUCAAUUGACGUAUUGGAAGACAACAUUGAAGCAUUUAUUCGUGAGAUACCGGCCGAAAUGUUGGAAAGAGUUUGGCAAAAUUGGACUAAGCGGAUGAACCAUUUGAGGCGCAGCAUGAUCAACAUUUGCAUGAAAUAAUCUUCAAACAUUAAAUUAUAUGGACCGUACUAUAGAUUCAAAUAAGUUUUUCAUGAAUUUUUCUGAAUUUUAUGUUUUUUUUUGAAAAACCUUUCCAGUAGCUCUUA